rnacentral:lncRNA from 1 species
AAAAUCCCAUACAAAGCCGCGGGGAAACUUUUUUUUUGAGCAACAAAUGCCUUCUGCAAGCUUCGAUGAAGCAGCAAUUAUGCAAAGCUCCAAACAAAUCUAGUGAACCCAUCCCCUCAAAAACUCCUUAACACUGAAUACUUCAAAUGAAACCAAAGUUAUUGAUUAUGGACACAAAUUUCAGCAGACCAGAACUAAUGGCCAAAUAGAGACAAACAACGUAACACUGAAC